GUGAAAAGUGUGGUAGUAUUGUGUUCUGUUAACGUUGUGGCCCCAAUGGCAAAGUCUUGUAUAUGUAGGUUUGGACUUACUUACGUAGUUUGUUUUAUCAAUGCAUCUUAUCCAUACUAGCAGAAGCUUUGAAUGCCAUAAUUAUAUGCAUGAAAAGUACAUAGUGAAGAGUUGGUUCUCCCAAAAUGGGUGCCCCUCCGCCCCAACGGAAUUUGAGGCGUGACAAAAUGAUUGGCAGCAAUCAAUGGAGGAGCCAUUUUUUUCACUGGGGAGUUCAAAAUAUGAAGAAGUAAACACAAGAAGAAUCCACAGAGGGGUUCAACAUCUAUUAUAUAUAUGCAUAAAUAAUAAUUUUUUAACCAUGUAUAAACGAUGUAAUUUUCAAAUGGAGAAUGUUCAAAUGAACCCCUUAGUUCUACAUGGCUCCUCCCCUGACUGCAAGGAAAUUGCGGGAGUCUAGACAAAUAUUAGUAAAAUAUAAAUAAUAUGCCACGAUAAUGUAUAUCAAAAUAAAUUCAAAUAUACUGAUGUAAUUUAAUUUUCUUUAACACAUCAUUUUUCAUUUAUUCUAGCUUAUUGUAACUAUUCGAGACUACCCCCUAGUUGUCACAUGGUGCUUGGAACCACAAGUGAUCUCAAGCUAACCCAUGAACUAGCAUACUGUUAAGAAACUGAAUUAUAACAUAAUAAAUAGUUGUUCUACUGUGCGGAACAUAAUCAUACUAAGAAUCUAAAAUAGAUACAAUACUGAUAAAGCUUUACAAUCUGAUAAAUCUGAAGGAUGAAACUGAAACUACAUGACUGACUCUGACUGACAUCUAUGAAGCCUCUAAUAUACUGAAUAUAGAUAACUGGGACAUGCCUCAAACUACCACUAAUCAAUACACAUGGAAAAUAAAUAAACUGUACAUGAACUAAAACUGUCUGGAGUUCUUGAAGUAGGAGAACUCAUCACCUGCUGGCUGGAAUCUGCAACUGUCUGAUCGUGAGGUGCGGGAUACAAUUAGUACCUACGUUAUGAAACAAUAUAGCCCCACAGAAGUUUAUGUGGAUCAGUACUUUUGAAAUGUACUGAGUAUGCAAGGGUGAAUGCAAUAAAUAAAACUGAUUUCAUAUGUAAUCGUAAAACAUGUAUGCUACGUGUAAGUAGACUCACCAAUAGGAUGGAAUAAACUAGAAACUGAAAUAUCUAAAAGGAUGAGUGACAAAUAUUUUCUGAUAAGAUGGUGAAUCUCUACACUUAUUUUUUGUAAACUUUACUUUAAUGAUAUAAGCAUAACUAAAGUUGGGAUAUGAUAAAACAUGGAUUCUGUUUGAAUUCUGGGUCUGAAAAUACGUGAUGGAGACUGACAUAGAUUUAGGAUCUGAAUAUACAAUCAUAUUGAGCACAAAUGCAUAAACAUACAAACUUAUCUGAUUAACUUAAUGACUGAUAGCUGAAUACUGGGCAUGUAAGACUGAAUUGUUCUUAGUCUGAAUAACUGGACUGGUAAGGUAGAGUAUUAUGCAUAUGAGGAAGUGACUGACUGAGUACAUAAGAUAACUAAGCAUGAAUUCGUAAAAAUUGUAUUAUCUGAGAAUGCAAGACCAAGCGUAUAACAUGAUUUUGAAAUAAUCUAUAAACUGAGGUACUGAAAUACUAAUAAUUGAAUAACUGAAUAACCGAUAACUGUACGCUAUGGUCAAACAAACCUAAAACUGAACUGAGUUACUGAUCUGAUUACUGGACUGAGACUGUUACUAAGAAGGUAACUGAGACUGGGACUGGGAAUAUAACUGAGACUGUAACUAAGAUCACAUUAACACUUGAUAAUGAGUUUUGAAAAUUGAAUGACUGAUCUGUUAACUGAGUGACUGUUUCUGACAGACUUGAUUCGGUAGAACUGAACUGAGUUCUAUACUAAGGCUGUAACUGAAACUGAAACUGUGGGAAGUAAUCAUCUAAACAACAUGCCCCUCUCCGAAUGGAUUGGGGUCCAACAUGUAACCCCAGUUGGAAGGGUGUUAGUACCGUGCUAUGGGUAAAGACAAAGCUGUGAGUUAACCCUCGCUGGCAGGAAAACUCAUAUGAGAUCUAUCAACCCUAGUCUGGCAGGAAGAUAUCUAAGCCUACGUUAGCUACGUAGUUCUAUAACGUAGGGAUUGCUACUAAGGGUCAAACCCUCUACUGGCAGGGAUGCCCCCAUCCCUGGGUUCACACAGUGUUGAUUCUUACUCCCAACUGAAUAGACACUGACUGAUUUCUAGACGGUACUAGGAUUGAAUGAACUGUUACUCAUCGUGUUGUCUAAAUGAUCUGAACUAAUUUUACUAGGUCCCGCUGACUGACGGAAUACUACUGAGUUCUGUUAACUGACUGAGUUCAUAGAGUUUUUAACUGAAUACUGAACUGAGACUAUGACUUAUUACUGAGUACUACUAUUCGUGACACUACUGAGACUGUUCUGUAACUACUGUUGCUCUAGGUAAGCAGCUAGAUUUUCGGAUAUUGAAUACCCCCAGGACUCGAUAGCAUAAAAAGUAAAGCAUAGCGUGAUCUUGAAAAGCAUAGCCAUAGUAAUUGUUCACAAUUCAUUCACUGAUACAUUUUAUCAAACACUUGGAGCUUAUGGACUUGUACAUAAAUAAGAACACAUGGUAAUGAGUCAUGAUUACCAUAUUCAAUUCACAUGGACACUCUAUCAAGCACGUGGAUAUUAAUACUUUAAUAUGGAGCAAUUCGCCAAACACAUGGGGAUCAUGAACUUGGACAUGGGAAUAUCUUAAGCAUGGGAGCAUAGCAUGAUUACAUAACUAAAAUCAUGAAUUGGGGAAUUCACAUGUAAUUCGCUUGAAAUAGGAUAUGGGUGUUUCAUCAAAACAUAUAAAGUUCAUAGUUUGAACGUAAGAAUGUCUUAAACAUAAGGGAACAAUAGAGUUACAUGGUUAAAUUCAUAACUUGGGGAUUGAUCUUGAAAUUGACUUAACAUGAUAUGGAAAUUUCAUCAAACAUGUGAAAAGCAUGAAUUUAAAACAUGAUAAUAUUGCUAAACAUCACAAAUUUAGGAUCUAUCAUGGAAGUUACUUGAAUAAAGUAUGGGAAAUUCAAAUUCAUAGCAGGAGAAAUUUAAAAUCUUUCAUGGAAUCAUACAUGGGCUGAAUUGAAAUUAAAACAUCAUGAAAACAUGAAAUUCAAUUUUUCUUGAGCAUACAAAAUACUGUAGUAAUGGAAAAUUCAUUCUUUAAUUAAAAGAAAAGAGUUUUUGGGCGUCAUGGGUGAAAGAGGACUCAUGGAUGAACUCACACAUACCUUAAAGCUUUAAUCUUGAAGGAGAAAUACAAUCUUGAAAGCAUUCUUGAAUUAGGAAACUUGAGUUCUUCUUUUCUUGAAGAAAAUUGAUGAAGUUCUUGGUGUUCUUGAGGAGGCUAGGGUUUUUCUUAGAGAGAAAAGAUAAAUAAUUGAGUGUGUAUUGCUUUUGGGGGCUGAACUUAAGUGUUAUGGGUGGAUUUGGGUGAGAGGAAGUGACUAAAGUAUCCCUAGACCCUUUAGAAACUUAAUUAGCGUGUGAAACAGUUCCGUAAUGCGUAUGCCGACGCGCCGCGUCGCUAUCAUGUCGGCUUACUACCUCACAUGGAAAAUGUCAUAACUUUUCGAUCGGGUAUCGAAUUUUUUCGAAAUUAGUAUCGUUGGAAAGCUAAUUAAAUUAUCUAAAAUUUGUUUUGUUUUUAUCUGCAAAAUUCUAUGUAUAUAAAAAGUUAUACACAUUUAAACUAGACCCUUGUAGAAUCAAAUGUCUAACUUUGGACGAAUCAAAGGCUCUAAGCUCAACUUUGUUCUACGUGAUUCUUAUGAACAUUUUUCACCUCAAAAGCAAAUCAAACAUGAGGAUAAAGAUCAUGGAACUUAUAUUCACAUGAAAAAUCAUUUAGAAUAUAGCUUAUACACGUAGGAACGACGGUUCAAAGACUAGCCCAAAAAUACGGGGUAUUACAUUAUCUCCCCCUCGGAACAUUCAUCCUCGAAUGAGACUGGUUAGACUAAGAGUUUUGUAUGAAGGUAACUGAGAUCAUAUUCUGAACAUGACUGACUUGGAACAUGAUUGCAUAACUGGUGACACCCAAUUUUUGCUCUCCGUACCUAAAAUUAACGUCUUCAGGCUUCCUGAUCGCUAAAGGGCACAAAAUAUAAUUGCUCACAUUUUUUUAUAAUUGUUUGAUAAAUUAUUGAUAAUCAUCCUUUCUUUAGAAUUUUAAUCAAUUUGUUGUCAUAUUUUUAUUUUUAUAAUUUAUUAAUAAUUUUUCUUAUUUUAAGAUUUUUAUCAAUUCGUUAUCAUUCUUAACAUUUUAUAAUCAUCUGCACACAUGCACGACAUGACGUCACAUUUUUACAUUAUUUUCAAAUUAAUUACAUUUUAAUAAUUUCUAUAUUCUUUACAUUUUUUCUAUAAUUACAUAUCAAUACCUGUAUUUUUGUAUAUUUAUUACAAUCCGUAAAAGUUGAGUCGAGUCAAUUAUUUUAAUACAUAGAGCAACAAAUCAGUCAAGUCAAGGUCUCGUCAUCAUUAUGGCACUUGACUUUUCCUUCACCUGUCCAUAAUUUAAGGAAUGUGUUUGAAAAAAAGUAGAUUUGAUAUUUUAUUAUUAUUUUUUCUUUUUAAAUACCCAACAUGCAUACAAAAAAUACACACGUACACGAUAUGACAUCACAUUUUUAUAAUAUUUUUAAAUUAAUUACAUUUUUAGAUAUUUUCAACAUUAAUUUCUAUAUUUUUUAUAGUCCGUAAAUGCUGAAUCAGAUCAAUUAUUUUUGUACAGUAUAAUAAUUUGAUGUCUUGUCACAUCUGACUAGGGUCACACAAUAAUGUCUUGUCACACCCGAUAAGUUAUUGAUAAUUGUCAUUAUUCUAGAAUUUUUACCAAUUUAUUGUCAUAUUUUAGUUUUAUAUAAUUUUUCUUAAUUGCGUAAAUUUUAGGAUUUUUUUAAUUUAUUAUCAUUUUAAUAUUUUUGCACAGUCAUCUACAUAUGUACAUAACAUAACACUACAAUUUUUUUUACAUAUUAUAAUUGUUUAUAGCGUAAUAUAUUUUUUUCAAAGAUAAUUAUAUCUGUUUACUUUUUUUCUAUAGUUGUAUAUCGAUAUUUUUAUUUUUAUACCUUAUGUAAUACAGUCUACAGAAAUAAUAUCGACUUGUUUUAAUACAUAGAACAAUAAAUUAAUCAAGUCAAGGUCUCGUCAUAUUUAUAACACUUGACUUUUCUUUUACCUACUACCAUAAUUUAAGGAAUGUGUUGGAAAAAAGUGGAUGUGAUAUUUUAUAUUAUUAUUACUUUUCCUUUUUAAAUACUCUUUGACACCAUGCCAUUACACACACAUACACACACAUUUUUACCACCCACAUAUAAUCGUCUUUCUCCCAACACACACGUUUUUUUCUUUUUCUCUCAAGUACGUACACAAAAACAUGGAAAAAAUCUUAUUCAUAUAUUUCUCUCAAAAACACAAAAAUAUUUCCUCAUUUUCCUAUUUUUCUCUCCAAAAAAUACACAAAAAGUACACAUAUUUUUCCUUCUCGUCCUUGCCUCAAAUACACAAAUUCACAAGAAAACACACAUUUUAAUCAUCCAUACAUAUACUUUUCUUCUUUUCAUCUCUCUUGAAUACACAAAUACACACACACAUUUUUCUUAUAAAAACACACAAUAUAUUUUUUAUAAUACAUAUACACAUUUUUCAUCCCCACAUAUUUUUCUUUCUCUCUCAAACACACAUUUUUCACUACACACACAUAUUCUUCACCACACAUAUAUUUUUAUCAUACACAAAUUUUAUUUAUCUUUUUCUUUUUCUCAGAAACACACGCAUAUAUUCAAAAUAAACACUUGGCCAAUGAAAUUAUCUCUCCGUCGGAUAUUACAGGUCACCCCGUUACAAAAGACGAACUUUAUUUUCUCAAAAUUAUAAGUUUUUAUCAAGAGCCAAAACUUGGCCAAUGAAGAAAUUUUUUGUCAAUUUUUGAGGCCUACUGCACAAAUAAAAAGACGAAUAUUACGUAUAUAAAUACGUAAUAAAAUAAAUAAAUUUUGGCAAUGAUGAAAUCUUUAUAAUUAUUUUUUAAAACUAUUUUUUUAAAAAAAAAAUUAUCUGAGCCCGACUUUUUAAUAAAAAUUAUAUUUUUUAAACACAUAUAUGCACACAUGCCCUUUUUUAAUUAUUUAUUAUUUGUAACUAACAUUUUUAUUACUAGUGUUUAUAUAGGUUAUUGGAAAUACUCACCGAAAAUUGCAUUCAAACAAGACUUUAAUUUUUCUGUUUGUAUUUUUAUACUUUUACAUUUGUAGGAAUAUUAAAUUAUAGUGAAAUCUUUAUUUUUAGGGUGUUGGGAGGGAUAUUAUUUAUUUACGCAAUUUUUAUCAUGUGUUAGGCAAAUUUAGGUUGUUACUAUUUAUAUAAAAGAAUUAAAUUAAUUUAGAUAUAUGAUAGAAUAAUUCAUAUUUUUACACUAAAAUCUUUUUUUUGAACAAAUUUUUCCUUAUGUAAUCUUUCAUUUUUUCAUACAUAUUCUCAUGUAUUUUUGUUUAUUUUCAUACACUUUUUAUACACAUAUUCUUACGAUAACAUAUGCAAUUUACACAUUCUUUACAUAUAAAUUGUGUAUAUUGUUUUAAUAUGCAUUUUAUAUUUGUACUUACAAACAUCAAUUUUUUCUCUUUCUUUUAAUAAACCUAAGUCUGGCCGGGAAUCACAUUUGUGGAUUCUGAAGGGUGCCUAAUACCUUCCCUUCGGAAUAAUUUGAACCCUUACCUAAAAUCUAAAUUGGUUCGUAGAUUAAAACACAAGUCAUACAUGUUAAUAAAUAAAUAGGUUUCCUUAUUUUCCUUAAAAUUAGGUGGUGACCCUGUAUAAAAUCAAUUCUUUUUGUCCAUAAUGUCGUGCUCGUUUUGACCUUAGGUAAAAAUUGUGUAUGACAAUAACUGAUUCUGAAACAUGAUACAUAAACUGAACUGAUUUCGCGAAUACAUGCACUGACGUGAGAAUGAUUAUAAGGCUGAGAUAGAAACUAGAGAGUCAACUAAAGAGUAACCAUUACUUCAAGAUGGAUCCUAUGUCAUGAAGAAAAUGAAAGGUCUAGGACAUGAAUACUCAGGGUAUUACAAUACAUCUCCCCCUUGGGAUACUUCCUCCCCCAAAUGGUACUGACUUGGUUGAGAUACUAUGGAAAGACUGAGAUGAUGCACGGAAAACUUAAGGACUAAAUCAUGACUGAAUUCUAGGAUCUGAAACUGAUGCAUAUGCAUAAACUGAACUAAAUUUAUGACUUGUAUGGUCAUGAAUGAAUUACCUCAUGAAUAGGAAUGAUGGGAAAUCAUAGGAACUUGUCUGUCUGACUGCUAGAUUGGAUUGCUGGCUAUACGGACUGAAUUAUACUGAAAUCUUACACUCAACUAUACAUUCCAUUUGUACACCAACAUGACAUUCAAGCCCAUCUUCAUUAUCACACAUGAAUUUGUAGGCAAACAAUCACAAAAACAUAUUUCUCAUUUCCUCUAAACCUCUAUCCUUAAAACUUUCAUGCACUAGCCCAAGAAAAUACACAUAGAAUUUAAACUAAUCAUGACAUAAGGAGAGGUAACUAAAAGUUAGAACAUGCGGACCUGAAGCAUGAAAGAAUAACUUUGACACUUAACUGAGGCCUGAGGAAUAAAGUAUCAAUGACAUAUAUUCAUCUGAGAGGUCUGAACUGAGGACAUACAUGAUAUAAUAUGAAUUCGAUGAUCAUUAGAGGUGUAGCAUGAGAACCUAGAACUAAACAUACUGUAAACAUGAGUACCUGAGUCAUGAGUUGCAUGACCUGAGUUUGGAGUUCAUGAUUUCAUAGAACAUGAUUUAUACUGCUGAGUGAACUGGAGCUCCUCAUACUAGAAACUGAAAGCGUACAUGUUUUUUCUAUAAAGUGCAUGAAUAUGAGUUGUGAUGAGGGAGCUGAUAUGUUAGGCAUGAGUAGAUAUCGCGGUGACUAAAAAACAUUGCACUGAGAUAAGAAUAAGUGGGGAAUCAUCUUCCCUUACUGCUUUUCUACACACACUGGCAAUACAACUAGAAUCUGAGAGCCUGACUUGGUCACUUGUUACAUAAUCUCCCCCUUAGACUAAAGCUAUCAUCUUAAGUCUAUGACCACUUUACUAAAUUCUAAACUGAACUGCAAUCACUUUACUCUAGAGUCUGGGGUAUAAUAAUACACAUGAAUGAUAAACUCAUCCACGUCAUACUUAAUCUCGAAUCAACAAACUUAAAUUCUUACAUACACUGUCAAGCCUACUAAUUCACCUUUCAUACAACUAGCCCCAUGAAUAUAUAAUCUACUCGAUCUGGAUAACACUACCCCAACUCUACUACUGCUAAACUUCUGGGUUUAUACUUCUAACUCUAAAUCACAUACUGUAAAAGGGAUUCUGAGAAAAAAAAUUGAAAGCACAUCUGACUUUGGCUUAAGGAACGAUUUUCAUAAACAUGAAUGAAAUAUUUCAAAAUUUAGGACAUAAGGGCACUGAUGAGAUACUUUCUAAGCUAAUAUGCAAUCCCAUAAUUGUCUAUGUUGACUGGCUGAGGAAACACUAUCUGUAAAGACUUAAGCUUCACUGUUUCUGUCACCUCAAAACUAAGGCAGAGUUAGCAUGAAUAGAGCAAGAUGAAGAUUUACAUAAAUUUCUUAGAUAAUACUUCUACUGCACGAUCUGAGACUUGAAAGUAGGGAAACAUUUCCUAAAUGACUUGUAGCCUCUAGAAGAAAAGUACAGACAUUUCUAUACUAUUCUACAAGACUCUACUAGACAUGGAUUUAUAGACAUCCUAGGGCACUUGAACUCUGUGCUCUGAUACCAAGUUUGUAACGACCUAAGACUACCCCCUAGUCGUCACACGGUGCUUAGAACCACAAGUGAUCCCAAGUUAACCCAUGAACUAGCAUACUGUUAAGCAACUGAAUUAUAACAUAAUAAAUAGUUGUUCUGCUGUGCGGAAACAUAAUCAUACUAAAAAUCUAAAAUAGAUACAAUAUUGAUAAAGAUUUAUAAUCUGAUAAAUGUGAAGGAUAAAACUAAAAUUACAUUACUGACUCUGACUGACAUCUAUGAAGCCUCUACUAUACUGACUAUAGAUAGCUGGGACAUACCUCAAACUACCACUAAUAAAUACACAUGCAAAAUAAAUAAACUAUACAUGAACUAAAACUAUCUGGAGUUCUUGAAGUAAGAGAACUCAUCACCUACUGGAUAGAAUCUGCAACUGUCUAAUUGUGAUGUGCGGGAUACAAUUAGUACCUACAUUAUGAAACAAUAUAGCCCCACAGAAGUUUAUGUGGAUCAGUACUUUUGAAUGUACUAAGUAUGCAAGGGUGAAUGCAAUAAGUAAAACUGAUUCCAUAUGUAAUCGUAAAACAUGCAUGCUAAGUAUAAGUAGACUUACCAAUAAACUGGAAUAAACUGGAAACUGAAAUAUCUUAAAGCAUGAGUGACAAACAUUUUCUAAUAAGAUGGUGAAUCUCUGCACUUAGUUUCUGUAAACUUUACUUUAAUGAUAUAAGCAUAACUGAAGCUGGGAUAUGAUAAAACAUGGAUUCUGUAUGAAUACUGGGUCUGAAACUACGUGAUGGAGACUGACAUAGAUUUAGGAUCUAAAUAUACAAUUACAUUAAGCACGAAUACAUAAACAUACUAACUUAUCUGAAUAACUGAAUGACUGAUAGUUGAAUACUGGGCAUGUAAGACUGAAUUGCUCUUAGUCUGAAUAACUGUACUGGAACUCUAGUGUAUUAUGAAUAUGAGGAAGUGACUGACUAAGUAACAUAAGAUAACUGAGCAUGAAUUCAUGAAAAUUGUAUUAUCUGAGAAUACAAGACCAAGCGUAUAAAAUAAUUUUAAAAUAGUUUGUAAAUUGAGGUACUGAAAUACUAAUAACUGAAUAACUGAUAACUAUACGCUAUGGUCAAGCAAAUCUGAAACUGAACUGAGUUACUGAUCUGAUUACUGGACUGAGAUUGUGACUAAGACUGUAACUAAGAAGGUAACUAAGACUGUGACUGGGACUGUAACUAAGACUGUAACAAAAAUCACAUUAACACUAGAUAAUGAGUUUUGAAAACUGAAUGACUGAUAGUCGAGUUUACUGAUACUGUAUUACUGUUAACUGAAUGACUAUUUCUGACAGUUUUGAUUCUGAACUGAGUUCUAUACUAAGUCUAUAACUGAAACUGAAACUGCGGGAAGUGUUCAUCUAAAUAACAUGCCCCUCUCCAAAUGGAUUGGGGUCUAACUUGUAACCCCAGUUAAAAGGGUGUCAGUAACGUGCCACGGGUAAAGACAAAGUUGUAUGUUAACCCUCUCUGGUAGGAAGACAUUUCGUUAACCCUCGCUGGCAGUAAAACUCAUAUGAGAUGUAUCAAUCAUAGUCUGGCAGGAAGAUAUCUCAAUCUACUCUGGCUACGUAGUUCUGUAACGUAGGGAUUGCUACUAAGGGUCAAACCCUCUGCUGGCAGGAAUGCCCCCAUCCCUGGGUUUAUCGGUGUUGAUUCUUACUCCCUCCUAAACAGACACUAACUGAUUUCUAGACAGUACUAGGCUUGACUAAACUGUUACUGAUCGUGUUAUCUAACUAAACUAAACUGAGUUUACUGGGUCCCGCUGACUGACGGAAUACUACUAAGUUCUGUGAACUGACUGAGUUCACUGAGUUAUGAACUGAGACUAUGACUGAUUACUGAGUCCUAUUGUACGUGACAUUACUAAGACUGUUCUGUAACUACUGUAUCUCUAGAUAAGCAGCUAGAUUUUUGGAUAUUGAAUACCCCCAGAACUCGAUAGCAUGAAAAGUAAAGCAUAGCGUGAUCUUGAAAAGCAUAGCCAUAGUUAAUUGUUCAUAAUUCAUUCACUAAGACAUUUUAUCAAACACUUAGAGGUUAUGGACUUGUACAUGAAUGAGAACACAUGGUAACAAGUCGUGAUUACCCUAUUCAAUUCACAUGGGCACUCUAUCAAGCACGUGGAGAUUAAUACUUUAAUAUGGGGAAAUUUGUCAAACACAUGGGGACCAUGAACUUGGACAUGGGAAUAUCUUAAGCAUGGGAGCAUAGCAUGAUUACAUAACUAAAAUCAUGAAUUGGAGAAUUCACAUGUAAUUUGCUUGAAAUAGAACAUGGGUGUUUCAUCAAAACAUGUAAAGUUCAUAGCUUAGACGUAAGAAUGUCUUAAAAACAUGAGGGAACAAUAGAGUUACAUGGAUAAAUUCAUAAGUUGGGGAUUCAUCUUGAAAUUGACUUAACAUGAUAUGGAAAUUUCAUCAAACAUAUGGUAAGCGUGAAUUUAAAACAUGAGAAUAUUGCUAAACAUCACGAAUUUAGGAUCUAUCAUGGAAGUUACUUGAAUAAAGCAUGAGGAAUUUAAAAUCUUUCAUGGAAUCAUACAUGGGCUGAAUUGAAUUAAAAACAUCAUGAAAACAUGAAAUUCGAUCUUUCUUGAGCAUACAAAAUACCAUAGUAAUGAAAAAUUCAUUCUUUAAUUAAAGGAAAAGAAUUUUUGGGAUCCAUGGGUAAAAGAGGACCCAUGGAUGAACUUCCACAUACCUUAAAGCUUUAAUCUUGAAGGAGAAACACAAUCUUGAAAGCAUUUUUGAAUUAAGAAACUUGAGUUAUCGCUUUUCUUGAAGAAAAUUAAUGAAGUUCUUGGUGUUCUUGAGAAGGCUAGAGUUUUUCUUUGAGAGAAAAGAUGAAUAAUUGAGUGUAUAUUGCUUUUGGGGCUAAAAUUAAGUGUUAUGGGCGGAUUUGGGUGAGGUAAAGUGACCGAAGUGCCCAUAGACCCUUUAGAAACUGAAUUACCGUGUGAAACAGUUCUGUAACACGCAUGCUGACGCGUAGCGUCGCUAUCGCAUCAGCUUACUGCCUCACACGGAAAAUGCCAUAACUUUUCGCUCGGGUAUCGAAUUUUUGCAAAAUUGGUAUCGUUGAAAAGCUAAUUGAAAUAUAUACAAUUUGGUGGUUCUUGAUCUACAAAAUUAUAUGUGUAUAAAAAGUUAUAUUCAUUUAAACUAGAACCUUGUAUAAUCGAAUGCCAAACUUUGGACGAAUCAAAGGCUCUAAGCUCAACUUUGUUUUAAGUGAUUCUUAUGAACAUUUUUUACCUCAAAAUCAAAUAAAACAUGAGGAUAAAGAUCAUGAAACUUAUAUUCACAUGAAAAAUCAUUUAGACUAUAGCUUAUACACGUAGAAAUGACAGUUCAAUGACUAGCCCAAAAAUGUGAGGUAUUACACUUAUUAGUCAAUGUUAGUAUUACAUAGAAUUACAUUUCAGCUGACUUAAUUAUAUUAAUAAUAUUUUACGAUGUCAUUGCUUAGAAAUUAAACUCUUAUUAAUCUUCAUUCAUUGUACUUUAUGUGGCAAACAUUGACUAUGCAAGAAACUAACUUUCUUAGCUUUUGAUAAGUUGUGGAUUGUUGUGAACCAAGCUAACUCCGUAAGGGCUUAGUGGUGAAUAAUAGCCUAUUUGGCCAAGCUAACUUUUCCUAAAUGUGCUUUUUUUUUUUUUUUUACGUAAAAGUGCUUGUUUUUGAAAACCAAUUCUAGACAAUUAAAUAUAAAGGUUCUUUGUUAGCUUUCCUGCAUUCUUAACUUGUCAAAUAAAACUUGAGACUAUUAACUAGAGUAUAGCCAGAGCGGCCUAGAUCUUUUUACAUUAAAGUGUUUUUAAAUAGCAUUAAAAUGUGUUGAUAAUAAGACAGUGUAAACAAGCAUUCAAGCUCUGUAGAAUUUAUGAGAGAUUAGUAGUAACAAUGAUCAUGAAGAUCAUUAAGAAUCAACAAGCUUCUCUUAUGGAAGCUUUAAUAACAGAAUUGAGAAGAAGAAGGAGAGAAGAAUGUGAUUAUAAAGUAAUUGAGAGAUCAAGACCAAGUUGUUUCUAUUCAAACUCAAUCCAUAUAGAUGAUAGAUAGAUAGAUAGACAGACAGAUAAGCAUAGAAGAUUCUAGACUUAACUAAUCCUAACAAACUCUUAAGAUGGCUAACGGUCAUAACUAACUUUUCACAAAGUCAGUUAUGAAUAGUGUUUCUUGUUAACUAAGAUAAUCAGCUUCUUUUUUAGCUGGAAAUCUUGAGCAUUUCUUCUAGUUCAUCUCAACAAGCUCCUUCCAAAAAUAGUAUGCAUUAACUGAUUAUUGAUACCACCAAAUAUGAUAUUUCAAGACAGUAAGAACAUCACUAAAGAUUGCAACAAAAAUGUAUAGAAAUUUAAAAAACCUUUAAAGAUUGUGAAAAGUCAUCUCUCAACUUAUAUAGAAAUUAGGACAGAAGAGCGGGCACAAGGAAGUCUAACCUUAUUCCUUUUAUACGCAAUCUAAUUUUACAGUAAUUAGAGAGGUGCGGUAAAUUCAAGUUCUCUCAUAUUAAAUAAGAACAAAAGAGUCAAGCUUUCAAUUUAAUCAUAAAAACAAGAAUUAAAGUUUUGACGCAAUUCAACUACGGGAAUGAUUUCUGGAAGAUGAUGAGGCAGGUAAUGACUUCAUUAUCUCUUUCUCAUUGAUACAUUUGCAACUGAAUCAGAAGAUUAUGAGUGGCUUUUUGACCAUAAGGAGGUACCAAAUUUUGAUGUACGGAGUUAUUUGGCAUUGAUGAUGCUUCUAGAAGUUGGAUAUGACGAGGGGGAUCAAUACAACACUAUCAUCCAGCAAACUUCUGGAGGCAUCAUCAAUGCCAAAUGAUGACUCCAUAAAUCAAAAUGCAUUAACUCAUUGUGGUCAAAAGCCACUCAUCAUCUUCUGAUCCAGUUGCAAACACAACGAUCAGAAAGGAAAUAAAGUCUUUACUCAAAAAUCAUUUUUUCACAAUUCAUUCCAUGAACCUUGUCGACUGUACUCCAUUUCUCAUCAUUCCAAGAAUUUAAACCUCCAGUUCAGACACUUUUGAACUUCCAAGAAAAUUUCUAAUUACAAAUUUAAAUCUCAAUAUUUUAUAGGAGUUGAGAAUUAAUGUACAAUGUCACUCCUAUUUAUACUUGCCUCUAUGGAUGAUUCUAGAUUCUUCUAGAUGCAUCUACAAGAACAAUCUAGAUAGCUUUUACCUAUAGUUAUCUAAGAAUAAUCUAGAUUCUACAAGAACAAUCUAGAUAACUUUUACCUUAUAGCUAUCUAAGAAUAAUAUAGAUUCU
rnacentral:lncRNA from 1 species